rnacentral:rRNA from 1 species
UACGGAGGGGGCAAGCGUUGUUCGGAUUUACUGGGCGUAAAGGGCGCGUAGGCGGCCACCGCAAGUCGACUGUGAAAUCUCCGGGCUUAACCCGGAAAGGUCAGCCGAUACUGCGGGGCUAGAGUGCAGAAGGGGCAACUGGAAUUCUCGGUGUAGCGGUGAAAUGCGUAGAUAUCGAGAGGAACACCUGCGGCGAAGGCGGGUUGCUGGGCUGACACUGACGCUGAGGCGCGAAAGCUAGGGGAGCGAACGGG